CAUCCCUCCCCAGCUGCACUCCCUACUCCACACUGGUUGGACCUGUUGACAUCACCGUUCCCUCCCAGAGUCUGAAGCCCCAGACCACAGGGGCUCAUGCAGCUUUGGGUACCCAGCCUGGAGGGAGCACCCAUAACCCAUUUGCUGAAGGAAGGCGGGAAGGCAGACAGGCAGACAGACAAGCCGUCUUCUUCCGUGUGGGCUUUUCUGGGAGAGAAAAUCUUCUAUUUCGGGAAGGGGCUGCCAUGAUGGAGAAAAGACCAUGGCAGCAAAGGCAGGCAGGCCGCCAGGAGUGGAAAAGGCUCACGGUCCCCUGGGCCACACACUCUUAGAAGACUCCUCCGUAACUUGAAUAAUAAAGCGACCGCAACAGUGAUGGCGAUGGCGUGUGAGCGUGACUGUGUGCCGGCCGCGGGGUUAGCAUUAGAUCCCCAUUUUACAGAUGAUGAAGGGGAUACCCCCAGGGAGCUGGUCCAGGAGCACAGUUAGAAAGUGACACAGCUGGGCCUGGGCAGCCUGGCCCACGUGGCCACUACCCACCUGCCCCGCACCUCUCAAAGGGCUGGCACCCCAACUCGGGGAGAAAGCACCACGCAUAUUUGCAAGGGGCCCAUUUCCUUCUUAGAAGCAUCCAGCAAAAAUAAGUCAACAGCGGAGGAAAUCAGGGGAGAGCAAGAAAGAGACCAUUGUCCCCCUGUCCAAAAAGGCUGUUUUCUGCCGACUUCUCAUUUCCUGGCUGCAGGCUGAAGGUCACUGGCUAUGUCUGCACAAACCAGUGAAGUCACAAGAAGGAAAACUUGGCCGGGGAACCCAGGCUGGGGAGGGCGGAGGUGGAGACAGAGGAGGGUGGAGUCAGAGAAGGAGGUGGCCAGGCCAUUCCUCUCCCGGAGACAGGGCCUCCUGAGCCUCCCGCUGUCAGCCCAGUGGCCUGCCUCCCUGGCUGGGACCCCUCCCGCCGGCUGGCUUCCACAAAAAAAAAAAAAAUGCUGGGUGCUGCUCCCUGCUUCUCAGAAGGAAAGCUCUCUUGGAAGAGCUGGAAAGGAUCUGUGCUGUAUGCCUUCCACGUGACCGCUGUUCGGUGCCCUUGGACCACAUGCUUUUACACCUGGCCCUCAGCUGCUUAUCAAGUAUGUAACCUUGGGCAAGACGCUUGCUUCUCCGUGCCUCAGUUUCCUGCUCUUUGGAAGGCGGAAUAACAGUAACACCUACCCCACAGGGUUCAGGUGAGGCUUCUAUGACUCGACAGAGACCAAGUGCUUCUAACAGCGCCUAUAGGCGUGUACGAUAAAUGUUAGCCCUUCAAAUGUCUCUCUGAAGCGUCACGGCAAGCCUCGUGCAUCUUAUCCCUAUUGGCCGAUGAAAAGAAAUGAGGCUCCGAAAAGAGGUGGAGCCCAACUAGUUUUCAGUCCAGCAGUUUCUCUGCUACUCCGCACGAACGGUGAGCUCCAGAAUCCAUUCUUUUCAUUGCCAUACUAGAUUGCCUUCUCGUCAUGGUUCCAGAAGGGAUAAAUACUCCACCCUGCAGUUAGCUUUUCAAAUGGCACCUGCCUUUGAAAGCCCAGCUGACCUGCCAACCAGUUCUGUGGAGAAAGCACUGGUCCGUGAGGACAGACUUAAAACUAGGAAGACGGCCUGCCGUAUAAUAUCUCACUGAAUCUUCACCGUGAUCCUUGGUGACGUGACCUUCUUUUGCGGGUGGCUGAGACAGAGUCAGUCACUUCCCCAAAAUAUCGCGAUUAGCAUACGUUGGGAUUGGGGUCUGAAUCUGUGUCUGACUCUAAAACCAUGGCGGACUCCCAGAGUCUUUGAUGGAGCUUUAAAAAAAUAAGAAUUCAUGCCCACUGAAUCACAGUCUCUUGGGCGAGGCUUGGGCAUGUGCAGUCAACAGUGAAAACCUCUUGCAAAGACACCGCCUCUCCUAGGUGCCAGACCCAUGUUUCCAAACAGCUACCAACACCCGACCUGGGCACUGACCAGCCUCUCACCCCCAGCGGGCUCAGGCUGAACUCACUCUGUCUCCCGAUUUCUCAGGGCCUCCUACCACCAUGCAUCUGCCCGCCUCCCCUGC
ensembl:lncRNA